rnacentral:rRNA from 1 species
AAACUGAAGAGUUUGAUCAUGGCUCAGAUUGAACGCUGGCGGCAGGCUUCAGACAUGCAAGUCGAGCGGAAACGACAAAGGUUUACCUUUGGGCGUCGAGCGGCGAACGGGUGAGUAACGCGUAGGAAUCUGCCCGAUAGCGGGGGAUAGCCCGGGGAAACCCGGAUUAAUACCGCAUACACCCCACGGGGGAAAGGCCGGGAUCUUCGGACCGGUCGCUAUCGGAGGAGCCUGCGUUGGAUUAGCUUGUUGGUAGGGUAACGGCCUACCAAGGCCACGAUCCAUAGCUGGUCUGAGAGGAUGAUCAGCCACACUGGAACUGAGACACGGUCCAGACUUCUACGGGAGGCAGCAGUCGGGAAUAUUGGACAAUGGGGGAAACCCUGAUCCAGCCAUGCCGCGUGUGUGAAGAAGGCCUUCGGGUUGUAAAGCACUUUCAGUAGUGAGGAAGGGACCUGGGUGAAUAUCCCGGGUUCUUGACGUUAGCUACAGAAGCAGCACCGGCUAACUCCGUGCCAGCAGCCGCGGUAAUACGGAGGGUGCGAGCGUUAAUCGGAAUUACUGGGCGUAAAGCGCGCGUAGGCGGUUUGGUAAGUCGGAUGUGAAAGCCCAGGGCUUAACCUUGGAACUGCAUUCGAUACUGCCUGACUAGAGUAUGGUAGAGGGAGGUAGAAUUCCACGUGUAGCGGUGAAAUGCGUAGAGAUGUGGAGGAAUACCGGUGGCGAAGGCGGCCUCCUGGACCAAUACUGACGCUGAGGUGCGAAGGCGUGGGGAGCGAACAGGAUUAGAUACCCUGGUAGUCCACGCGGUAAACGAUGUCAACUAGCCGUUGGGGAUCUUGUUAUUCUUAGUGGCGCAGCUAACGCGAUAAGUUGACCGCCUGGGGAGUACGGUCGCAAGAUUAAAACUCAAAUGAAUUGACGGGGGCCCGCACAAGCGGUGGAGCAUGUGGUUUAAUUCGACGCAACGCGAAAAACCUUACCUGGCCUUGACAUCCCCGGAACCUGCCAGAGAUGGCGGGGUGCCUUCGGGAACCGGGUGACAGGUGCUGCAUGGCUGUCGUCAGCUCGUGUCGUGAGAUGUUGGGUUAAGUCCCGCAACGAGCGCAACCC